rnacentral:rRNA from 1 species
GAUGAACGCUGGCGGCGUGCCUAAUACAUGCAAGUCGAGCGAACAGACGAGGAGCUUGCUCCUCUGACGUUAGCGGCGGACGGGUGAGUAACACGUGGAUAACCUACCUAUAAGACUGGGAUAACUUCGGGAAACCGGAGCUAGUACCGGAUAAUAUAUUGAACCGCAUGGUUCAAUAGUGAAAGACGGUUUUGCUGUCACUUAUAGAUGGAUCCGCGCCGCAUUAGCUAGUUGGUAAGGUAACGGCUUACCAAGGCAACGAUGCGUAGCCGACCUGAGAGGGUGAUCGGCCACACUGGAACUGAGACACGGUCCAGACUCCUACGGGAGGCAGCAGUAGGGAAUCUUCCGCAAUGGGCGAAAGCCUGACGGAGCAACGCCGCGUGAGUGAUGAAGGUCUUCGGAUCGUAAAAUUCUGUUAUUAGGGAAGAACAAAUGUGUAAGUAACUAUGCACGUCUUGACGGUACCUAAUCAGAAAGCCACGGCUAACUACGUG